rnacentral:rRNA from 1 species
AUGGCGAUGAGGAAGAACAAGGUUCACGAGUUCGAGGCUGAUGUGCCCGCCGCCGACCUAUGGGGACUCUACGGCACACUCCGUGCGGCGGAGCUGCUGCCCGAGCUUCUCCCGCAGGUGCUCGCCAAGAUACAGCUCGUGAGCGGCGAUGGCGACGUCGGCACCAUCUUGGAGCUCACAUUCGCUCCAGGGAUCCCUGGCCUGGAGACAUACAGGGAGAAAUUCAUCAAAGUCGACAAUGAGAACUACAUCAAGGAAGCGCAGACGAUCGACGGAGACAUCCUGAAGCUCGGGUUCCUCUAUUACAUGGUCAGGUUCGAGAUCAUCGCCAAAGGACCCAGUUCUUCAGUGAUAAGAUCGACCAUUGUGUAUGAGAUAAACUAUGAAACUCACCCCGGGCUUGAAGCCAUGGUCAGCACCGGACCUCUGGCUGCAACUGCUGAGAAAUUUGCAGGGUACCUCAAGGAGCAGAAGAUCGCUCAGAGCAGUUAA